rnacentral:tmRNA from 1 species
GGGGCUGACCGGUUUUGACAGCAAGAAAGUGGGGUUGUAAGCAUGCCGAGUGUGGUAAAUAUGACUCGUUAAUCUCAAGUUACACAGCCAAUAAACGGCGAAAACAAUUCUUACGCUUUAGCAGCUUAAUCUAGGAUUAGGUAGCUAUUUGCUCCCCAAAAAGCUUUGACUAACGGCGUUUUGAACGGAGCAUCAUAAAUGUUGGUAUAGCUUUUGCAAGGCUCUGGUGCAAAGGCGAAAUAAAAGAGAUACGGUAUUUAUAGGUUGGUUUUUUACCGGUAACCUGCCCGACAAUCAAUAAAAAACUAAGCAUGUAGAAAGCAGUUUUGCUGCUUGUUUGGACCAGGGUUCGACUCCCUGCAGUUCCACAC